GAUGAAGAACGUAGCGAAAUGCGAUAAGUAAUGUGAAUUGCAGAAUUCAGUGAAUCAUCGAAUCUUUGAACGCACAUUGCGCCCGCCAGUAUUCUGGCGGGCAUGCCUGUCCGAGCGUCAUUUCAACCCUCGAACCCCUCCGGGGGGUCGGCGUUGGGGAUCGGCCCUCCCUUAGCGGGUGGCCGUCUCCGAAAUACAGUGGCGGUCUCGCCGCAGCCUCUCCUGCGCAGUAGUUUGCACACUCGCAUCGGGAGCGCGGCGUGUCCACAGCCGUUAAACACCCAACUUCUGAAAUGUUGACCUCGGAUCAGGUAGGAAUACCCGCUGAACUUAAGCAUAUCAAUAAGCGGAGGA
rnacentral:misc_RNA from 1 species